rnacentral:lncRNA from 1 species
CCUUUGUCCCUCUUUGGGGGGAAACUCCCACUUGGUUUAAAUCUGGGACUCUCCACCAUUGACCCUUAGAACUGAAGAAGCUUCUCGGAUGAGAGGUGAAACGUCUUCAAGCAACUCAAAGAAGUCCAGAGGCUUUUCUUUCCAAGCUCCUUAGACUAUGAAGACCUGGAUGACUGAGAACCUUCACAGACACAAUGUUAGGAUUGAAUUUAUGAAUACGACACCUUUAAAACAGUCUUGACUUGAGUAUGUAGCCCUGCAAACGAAACAAACAACUAUUAUAAAAAAUAAACUAUAAAAAAGCUUUCUCUGAAGUUCCUGUUUCUAAGGAGGUACGGAUAUAAUAUACUAUAUACAAUCACACCUGUUUUGCAUGAGAAACAUGCAGGAACACACAGCCCUGUCAAUCACACUGUUCACUCACAAAGUACUUAAGCAUCAAAUCGAAGUGCAUUUGUGUGUUACUCUGACCCGUGUCCUCUUACAUCAACAUAUAAUUCUGGUUUUAUCAGUAUGUGCAUGGUCAGUUGCAGACUAUAACAUUAUAUUUGACCUUUAAAUGGGCGUUCAGCAUACUUCAGGUUGAGGUGUGGCUUUACAUAUAAAAAGCGGCAGGUGACAGGUGAGUCAGUGGAUCAAGUUACCAGCACACAGUAAGUUCAACACUGAAUCUCUGCUGAUUAUCUUGUAUGCAUAUGUGCAGAAAGAGUUUGGAUAUGUUGUAGUUUCUUUUGUGAACAGGUUUUGGUGACCUCCCUCGGAUCUGAACUUACAAGGUGUGAAGUUUGACAUUUGGAGAUGUUUGGAAAGGGAAGAGGAGGGCACUGUCAUGAAGGAGGGCAUGGACAUGGUCAUGGUGGUGGACAUGAACAUGGACACGGCCAUGGUGGUGGACAUGGACAUGGUCAUGGUGGUGGACACGAACAUGGACAUGGCCAUGGUGGUGGACAUGGACAUGGUCAUGGUGGUGGACACGAACACGGACAUGGCCGUGGUGGUGGACAUGGUCAUGGUCAUGGUGGUGGACACGGACAUGGCCCUCAUGCUCAUGGAUGUGAGAAGACGCACAGGCGCCGGCACAAGCAAGGACACAGGCACCUCAAAUGCCACAAGAAGGGGAGGAAUUGUCACGGGGACUCCAGCAGCUCCUGCAGCAGUGACUCUGACUAG